UGAAAUGUAUUUGCUGGAUAAAGAGUAGUGUUACAUGGAAACCGAGGGUCGACGUGGUGUAACUUGAUCUCCUGCUUUAUGUAUUUGCCUGUUUUAUGUUUAUUUUGUUUCUAAAUGUAACUUGAAGUUGAAGUUGUGCAUCACUGUUAUCCCACCUCAAAGAUAGCUUUUGCAGCCUUAGUAAAUGUUUUUCUACUGUCUUUUAGCGGACAACUUUUGGGCCGAAGAUGCUUUGAGGUGCGUGUCUGCGCGUGUCCCGGCAGGGAUCGUAAAACAGAGGAGGCAAAUAGUGCAGGUUAAAGGCCGUGAGCGCUAUAACAUGUUAAAAAAGAUAAAUGAUGCAUUAGAACUGGCUGGCUGAAAAAGAGGCUAAAAACAAAACCAGGGCUUCUAAGGAACUGCUGCCGUCCAGUGGAAAGCGCGUCUUGCAAAAAGCAGAACGAAGCGACAGCGACUAGUUGCAAUCUGCCUUCUUUUAACCGCCAUGUUAUGUUCAGUGUUGCUUCCUGGCCAACAUCCCUCAGCAGGAGGCUGCACGAUCAUCGAGUUCAGAUGAACUGCGCGACCCCAGCCCCCUGUACCUCCCCGUCCCUCGUCCUGCCGGGGUCCGGCGCGACCCCAGCCCCCUGUACCUCCCCGUCCCGCAUCCUCCCGGGGUCAGGCGCUACCCCAGCCCCCUGUACCUCCCCGUCAGGCAUCUUGCCGGGGUCCGGCGCGACCCCAUUUUUUUUGUUUUUUAUUUUUCCUUCUCCUUUCCUCCCCUUUACCUCCACCCGUGCCACAGGCCCACUGAUGAUGAACAUGAUGAUGACGAACAUGAUGAUGAUGAUGAUGAUGAUGAUGAUGAUGAUGAUGAUGAUGAUGAUGAUGAUGAUGAUGCAAGCAGACAGCUGCGUGCAAGGGCUGACCAUUUUAAACGAAAAAUAAAACAGACCAAACAGGCAAAAA